AAAGAGUUUUAUUCCAAUGAUGAGUUUAGCCUGAGGAUUAUUUCAGGGUUAAGUGAUUUGCAGAGGAUUUCUUUCAAGGUCAGAUCUUCUAACACAGCACAUCCUGAUUAAUGAGUUUCUACAUAAAUCCAGGAUAGGAUGGUAUGUCACAACCGAAUGCAUCUAUCAGUGAAAUUGUUUGAGGAGUUCUAUCUAGUGAAGCUCCUACAUGCUUCCACAUGUGUCAUUCUACAUAGAUGAUCCAACAGUAAGAUGCUUGUCAUUACUUUGGGAGCUCCCUCAACUCAGAAGUUACGCCAGCUCCCGGCGGACAUGCUCCCGCCUGCCCUGCACCACCACGUGAUUCUGCCCCGCUGCCCAGCCCUGCGAACGUUCCCGGACAACAGCCACAAAACACCUUGUCUUCAGCUGGCUACCUCAAGCCUUGAGCUUUUCAUCUCCUGGAAGCUGUAAGAACAAACUACAAUCAAAGCUGAACUCUGGCUGCAAAUUUAUCACUAUUUGGGACAAUGAAGAAUGCAUAUUUCUCCAUGGAUGCAUGAGCUAGCAGCAGGGUAAAUUCCUCUUUCCAAUUACUAGACUCAAUUUACCUGUCCAGAACUAAAUGCAAGCCUGACUUCUGCUAUAGGAUUAUGUUGAUGGCUACAUGUAUAAAUAAUUCAGGGCAGUUUUUAGAGCCGUUAUAGAAAAAGCACGAACAAAAAAACAAUUCACAUUGCUGAACAUGUUAAAAAGCAAACAAAUACCAAGCAAACACAUUACAAUGAACUUGUUCUGCAAAUAGAAUCUGUUCUCCAAAGAUAUCCUGAAUGACUGAGUAGUCAUGCUUAUUUUUGUGCUAAUAACAACCUCCACAGAAUCAUUCAAAAUGAAAGACUAACAAAAUUUCAGGUUCCAGAUAUUAUCAUAUUUAAUAGUCCUCACGAGUAACAAUUUUAUAUUAUGCAUGCACCAACUAGAAACAUGCAUCUCAUCUCAAGGAUGCUUGGUGUAAGAAGGCAUUUGGUUAGUGUGCAUCAUGCCAAGACCCCAGAUUUGUACUAGCCAUUCGCAUGUGGCAGAGACUUGAAAAGAGCAGGUGAUGCUGAUAAAGAGCAGCCUAUGACAACUGUUACACCUUUGUCUGAAAGGGCAGUUUCUUUAUCAAGUCCAGCCAUAAAAUGAAGCUGAUCCCCACAAAGCUUCCGAAGAGUGAACUGGAGACACCACAAUCUUCCUUCUUUGUUUAAACUUUUGACUUGCAUAGAGAUCAACAUUUUAAUAGUUUGAGACCGCUUUGAAACAUAACAAAAACAUGCUGCAAAAACCCACUACUACCAGAAUGGCAGUGAACGUACUGCAGCGUACAAAUGAAUACAUCAGAAUGAAAGAACGUACUAAUUAAAGGGAUAAAACUCUUUAAAGAUAGAAUUUAUGUAUGAAGUGGAUAGGAGAAAUAAAGAAGAGGGAAACAGACCAAAACGUUAUUCUCAAUGGGAAAGAUUUACUAAGAUAGCAAACAUAACAGAGAAGUUUAUUGCUCUUCACAGUAACUUAAAUCCCUGUGAAGAACAUCUAGGCAAAUACAAGCAAAUCCUUAUAUGCUUUCCAUUCUUAAAAAAACAAACAAACAAACAAACCACCCCACACACAUUUUGAUGGCUUACACUGCCUUAUUCAUGCUUCUCAAACAAGCAAGCAGUGCUCAUAAAUGACUGCAAUAAGAAUGAGGUCUGCAUUAUGAUUUUGUAUUGAGCAGAGUUCUUAAUAAGGCAUAUUUCCAACAGGAGUUAGAGAAUUGAACAGUAAAAAACAAAGUAUGCAGAAAAUACCUCCUGUGGGGAGGAAAGGAGAAAGCACGCAUACCACAUAUAUUCCUGCAAUAGUAUAUGGCAUUGCUGGCUUUUAUUAGAAGUCCCACACUAUGAAACAGAUUUUUAGACGUUUUUUUAAAGUAGGAAGAGACAAGAUAGAAAAUUUGAUUCAAAGUCAGCUUAUCUGGCCAACACAGAAAUGCAAUGAGAAGUGACCGAUGACUGUACACCACACUGCCUACAAAAUAACUUGUAUAUGAGAGAACUCCUGCAGUGACAUAUUCUCUCUCUAGUCAUAUGCAUAGCUUCUGUAAAUGGGAAGCUUCCCUAUGGGAAAGGGUAGCAACUGACUAAAUAAUCUCAUCUUUACGUGAUUAUCUAUUGACUUUAUCAAUCCAUGUUACAUUUUGUGUAGAGGACAGAAAUAAAGUUAGCUAUUCCAUUCAAAAUAAAAUACAGGGCCCUCAA